ACGGAGAUUUUAUUUCCAGAUUCUGAACGGAUGCUAGAGAUAGACGACUUGUAUUUAGUUGCAGAAAAAAUUUCCGGCUCGUGGAGGAAGUUGGCUCGUUUUCUCCCACCGAAAAAUGUAUUCACCGAAGCACAAUUGUCAACACUGCAGACUGAUAAUAAUGGUGAUCUAGAGGAAACAAUUAUUCAGAUGCUGCAGUUGUGGAAGGAACAAUAUCCAGAGUAUACUACUGUUGGCAAUUUAGCAAUAACUCUUCAGUCCAUAGGAAAAGCUGAUAUUGCGAAAGAACUACAUCCUUAAUUAAUAACACCGUUCGGGAGAAGUUCAUAAGAAUUUUUAAUAAAAUUAUCAUCGUAAAUAUUUCGGAUUGUUAGAGUUAAUAAAUAUAUUAUUGU